rnacentral:rRNA from 1 species
GUUCUUCUAACCUGAGUAUAGGGGCGAAAGACUAAUCGAACCAUCUAGUAGCUGGUUCCCUUCGAAAUUUCCCUCAGGAUAGCUGGAACAAUCACAGUUUUAUCGGGUAAAGCGAAUGAUUAGAGGUUCGGGAGUUGUAACAACUUUCACCUAUUCUCAAACUUUAAAUUGGUAAGAACGGGGAGUUUCUUAAUUGAACUCUUCGAUGAAUGUGUGUUCCAUGUGGGCCAUUUUUGGUAAGCAGAACUGGCGACGAGGGUUCAACCUAAGGCAGAGUUGAGGCGACCAAUUGGCAGCUCAUCAGAUGAAAAGGUGUUAGUUCAUUUAGACAGUAGGACGGUGGCCAUGGAAGUCGGAACCCGCUAAGGAGUGUGUAACAACUCACCUACCGAAUGAACUAGCCCUGAAAAUGGAUGUCGCUAAGCAGCCAGCCGAUACUCUGCUGUUCUGCUUUAAGCUAGCAGAACAGGUAGAAGGGCGUGAAGACCGCGCAGAAGGCUUUGUGUAGACAAGGCUGGAGCGAUCUUUAGUGCAGAUCUUGGUGGUAGUAGCAACUAUUCAAAUGAGAACUUUGAAGACUGAAGUGGAGAAGGGUUUCAUGAGAACAGCAUUUGGUCAUGAGUGACUCGGUCCUAAGGUCAAGGGUAAUCCUGCGACGGCGUAGCCCAGACCGAAAGGGAAUGUGGUUAAAAUUCCACAAGCAGGCGGUGGAUAUUGCGUGGCAACACAACUGAACUCAAAGACGUCGAGGCGAGGUCCCAGGAAGAGUUCUCUUUUCUUCUUAACAAGUUGCUGCCUUGGAGAUCUUUGCGAUGAGAUAAGGCUACAGACUUGGAAGAGCAGCACACCCUCUGUGCUGUCUGGUGCACCUUCUUCGGCCCUUGAAAAUUUGAGGGAAACUUUAUUGCUCGCCUGGCCGUACCCAUAACCGCAUCAGGUCUCCAAGGUUAGCAGCCUCUAGUACGUAGAAUAAUGUAGAUAAGGGAAUUCGGCAAAAUAGAUCUGUAACUUCGGGAAAAAGAUUGGCUCUGAGGGUCAGGCCAAGGGCCUGGUAGAUCGACCUAGUUGUGCCAAACGGGGCAACCUGUAGGCGUCAGCGAUGGUUUGACCUGUCAGUCACCCUUGGCAGCGAAUGACCAACUCAGAACUGGAGCAGCGAGAGGAAUCCGACUGUUUAAUUAAAACAGAGCAUUGUGAAGGCUGUAAACAGUGUUGACACAAUGUGAUUUCUGCCCAGUGCUCUGAAUGUCAACGUGAAGAAAUUCAUCCAAGCGCGGGUAAACGGCGGGAGUAACUAUGACUCUCUUAAGGUAGCCAAAUGCCUCGUCAUCUAAUUAGUGACGUGCAUGAAUGGAUUAACGAGAUUCCUACUGUCCCUAUCUACUAUCUAGCGAACCCACAGCCAAGGGAACGGGCUUGGCGGAAUCAGCGGGGAAAGAAGACCCUGUUGAGUUUGACUCUAGUCUGGCUUUGUGAAAUGGCGUAGGGGGUGUAGAUAAGUGGGAGCCCUGCGUAUUGAAAAACCACUACUCUUGAUGUCAUUUUACUUAUCUCGUGAUGUAGAAACCUCCGGGUUCUAGCUUUAUUCUUGGCGGGAGACAGAGCCAGGUAGGGAGUUCGGCUGGGGCGGCACAUCUGUUAAACGGUAACGCAGGUGUCCUAUGGCAAGCUCAAAGAGAACAGAAAUCUCUUGUUGACCAAAAGGGGAAAAGCUUGCUUGAUUUUGAUUCUCAGUAAGAAUACAAACUGUGAAAGCAUGGCCUAUCGAUCCUUUGCUUUUUAAAAGUCUUAAACCAGAGGUGUCAGAAAAAUUACCACAGGGAUAACUGGCUUGUGGCAGCCAAGCGUUCAUAGCGACGUUGCUUUUUGAUUCUUCGAUGUCGGCUCUUCCUAUCAUUGUGAAGCAGAAUUCACCAAGUGUCGGAUUGUUCACCCGCUAAUAGGGAACGUGAGCUGGGUUUAGACCGUCGUGAGACAGGUUAGUUUUACCCUACUGAUGACUGAUAUCGCUACAGUAAUCCAACUCAGUACGAGAGGAACCGUUGGUUCAGAUCACUGGUUCAUGCGAUUUCCUGACAAGGAAGUGUCGCGAUGCUACCAUCUGUUUGAUUAUGACUGAACGCCUCUAAGUCAGAAUCAAUGCUGGAACGCGAUGUCCGCCGAGUGCAUAUGGAAACCAUAAUCCAACUCCCAAUGCAGCUUCUGAUGUUUGCACAAUGCAAGCUAAGAUACUGUAAUUACCAAAUUGCACCCGGGACAAAUCUUUUGCAGACCACUUACAUGGAACGAGGGAUUGUA